AUGUUUGAUGCUGUUGUUUCUGUUAUCCAAGAUAUAGCUGCUGAUAGAUCCAUUGGCUCAAUUCGUGCGGAUGCAGACACUUGUUUUAGCUACUUGUCCUCCUUUGAGUUCAUAUUUAUCUUAUGUUUGAUGAAAGAAAUAUUUGAGAUAACUGAACUACUUAGUCAAGCCUUACAGAAGAAGUCACAAGAUAUUGUGAAUGCUGUUCGUCUAGUGUCCUCGACAAAAGAGCGUCUUCAGCAGCUGACAUCAGAUGAUGGAUAUGCAGAAUUUAUUGUCAUGGUUAUUGAGUUUUGUACAAACCAUUCCAUAGACAUUCCUAACUUUGAGGAAACUUACAUCUUGCGUGGUGGGCGUGCCUGUCAUCAGCCUGAUCAGUUCACCAAGGAGCAUUACUUUCGAGUGGAAAUAUUCUUUGCAAUGAUGGAUACUCAACUGUUUGAAUUAAAUUGA
rnacentral:rRNA from 1 species